CCUGGUGGACACCAGCUCUCCUAGGAAAUGGCUGAUGUUGCUGAGGAGGCAGCAGUAUCAAAGCCCUUGUUGAUGAAGGUACAACAAGCUGGGGAGGCUUUGGCAUUUCUGCACAAUGCUGCUCCCUGAUUGUCACUCAAGACUCAGAUUCUGAAAGAAGCAAAGCAAGCUAGAGGAAAACUGUACGUCCGGGAUCCAAAACUCCGUAUUACAGCGGAUCUUCUCCUCUGAUCUGAAAAGCUUCACAGGCCAAAAGAGAAUUGAGAUGACGAAGGAAACAGAGAAUGCUGACCAGUAUUUCCAAUUACCACCCGUAUUAGGUGAAGAAGAACACUGCAACCAGCUGAAGCCGUAUCAG